UCGGCUUCGACUUGGUUUGAGUGCUCUGUCGCUGCUGGUGGUACUGUUACAUAUCGUGCGAGAAAAAAUGUCAUCCUUACAAAUAUUAUAUACAUUUCCUUCUCUUUACCUCUCGAACCAAAGCAGUAUGGUGGGACCGGUAACUGCUAUUUUCCCUCUCUAACUUUUACAGUCUUUCGGGUCUUAGGAAUUUGUGCGCACACACACCCAUACUUACACACGUACGAAACUCGCAAAGUUUGAUUAUAACCACCAUCAAAACUGACCCCAUCUCUGUCACUGUCUCGACGAUGAUAUCGGCUUGAACAGCUUUACAGGCUCUCU